ACGGCUGUUUCAAGGAGGCGGCGAAAA
rnacentral:sRNA from 1 species